rnacentral:rRNA from 1 species
GAUGAACGCUGGCGGCGUGCCUAAUACAUGCAAGUCGAGCGAACAGACGAGGAGCUUGCUCCUCUGACGUUAGCGGCGGACGGGUGAGUAACACGUGGAUAACCUACUUAUAAGACUGGGAUAACUUCGGGAAACCGGAGCUAAUACCGGAUAAUAUACUGAACCGCAUGGUUCAAUAGUGAAAGACGGUUUUGCUGUCACUUAUAGAUGGAUCCGCGCCGCAUUAGCUAGUUGGUAAGGUAACGGCUUACCAAGGCAACGAUGCGUAGCCGACCUGAGAGGGUGAUCGGCCACACUGGAACUGAGACACGGUCCAGACUCCUACGGGAGGCAGCAGUAGGGAAUCUUCCGCAAUGGGCGAAAGCCUGACGGAGCAACGCCGCGUGAGUGAUGAAGGUCUUCGGAUCGUAAAACUCUGUUAUUAGGGAAGAACAAAUGUGUAAGUAACUAUGCACGUCUUGACGGUACCUAAUCAGAAAGCCACGGCUAACUACGUG